rnacentral:misc_RNA from 1 species
AACUGCAGUUGCAAUUGUCAUUCUAUUUCAAAUUUGAAUUUUCCAGCCUAAAAAGACGUACCAAACUGGAAAUGUCGCGCACAACAAGGAAAUAUAUAUAGGGAUUUGGGGCAGAGCCCAUGGGCAACAGGUCUGUCACAGAGAUGGCUGGAACUGAACAAACGCUGGGCGGAAUCUGCGCCGAAGCUGGACUCGAGAAGAGGCCUUUGGCGAUUUGGCCAAUGGAGGUGGUUCCUGUGAUCAGGCUUUGGACAAGCGAAACUUGUUCUUGCAGAUGAAGAAGACUAAAUUAUACCUCUUUUCAAGGCUUAUUUUUCUCAGCACAACAGCAAACCUCGUUGUGGAUGUGAGUGAUAAAUAUGACCCGGCAGGGAGAUCCGAACAAACCUCCUACAAAUGAGUCUAAUAAUUAUAUAUAUAUAUGUUGUCGCAACUGUAAUUUGUGACCCAGGA